UGGGGAAUCUUGCGCCAAUGCGCGAAAGCGUGACGCAGCGACGCCGCGUGGGGGAUGAAGGCCCUCGGGUUGUAAACCCCUUUCGCCAGGGACGAAGCGAGAGUGACGGUACCUGGAGAAGAAGUCCCGGCUAACUACGUGCCAGCAGCCGCGGUAACACGUAGGGGACGAGCGUUGUCCGGAUUCAUUGGGCGUAAAGCGCGCGUAGGCGGUCGUGCAAGUCGGUUGUGAAAUCCCGGGGCUCAACCCCGGGACUGCGUCCGAUACUGUGCGACUGGAGGCAGGUAGGGGAGAUCGGAAUUCCUGGUGUAGCGGUGAAAUGCGCAGAUAUCAGGAGGAACACCGGUGGCGAAGGCGGAUCUCUGGGCCUUGCCUGACGCUGAGGCGCGAAAGCUAGGGGAGCGAACAGGAUUAGAUACCCUGGUAGUCCUAGCCGUAAACGUUGGGUGCUAGGUGUGGGCGGACAUCGACCCCGUCCGUGCCGAAGCUAACGCAUUAAGCACCCGCCUGGG
rnacentral:rRNA from 1 species